UACGUAGGGUGCAAGCGUUAUCCGGAAUUAUUGGGCGUAAAGAGCUCGUAGGCGGUUUGUCGCGUCUGCUGUGAAAACGCGAGGCUCAACCUCGCGCCUGCAGUGGGUACGGGCAGACUGGAGUGCGGUAGGGGAGAUUGGAAUUCCUGGUGUAGCGGUGAAAUGCGCAGAUAUCAGGAGGAACACCGGUGGCGAAGGCGGGUCUCUGGGCCGAUACUGACGCUGAGGAGCGAAAGCGUGGGGAGCGAACAGG
rnacentral:rRNA from 1 species